CGGUAUAGCCACUUUCAUGCAAAGGUCAGACAGAAUUCUGAGAAGGAAGUGUCAUGAUGAGAAUGCCUGGGGCUGAAGAGAGGCCAGCCGCCUGAGGGGGGAGUAGGAGCCAUGCGACCAGGUGACGCAGACCUCGGGGUUCUACGAGAUAGUUUCAGUAAGAGGGCGUAGAUGGAGAAUUAGUAUUUAGGAUUAGGAAGUGAUUCUGAGGUUAGGGAGUGAGAGAUAAGGACAGACUAUUUCAAAAUAUAGACAGGAAAUGAAAAGAGAAAAGAAGUCUAGAAUGCCGUCACUGCGAGCCAGGAAAGAAGCUUUGGAGUUCCUCCCUGCUCCGAAUCUACAUUUCGUGGUAUUUGUGAUUUCUUUUUCUACCCAGUCAUCUAUGUAUACUGUGCUCUUCAUCCAAUCCAGAACAGAAAGAGAAAGACAACAAAACCAAACAAAAUCCUAGAUUCUGUCCCCUCAAUGUAGAAAAUCCCACUAAAUUCCAAACCAGGCAUUUCAUAAGCAGAGGAUGCUCCCUGGAGUCCUGAAAUACUUCCACGUGGUUGGUGGCUGUGUUUACUUUUCAAGGAGAAUAUAAUCCAGACAAUUGGCUUGUGCCCUAUAUGUGAAUAAGCAGACAGUGUGACUUCCAUGGAGAGAAAUAACCUGAAAUGGACACGUCUGGACAGUGAAGAGCAGGACAGCCUGUUGUGCCUCAGAAAAACCAAAAAAUAGAUAGAUAAAUAAAUGGAAA